AUUCUAUGGUGUUACAUUUGUGUCAUUAAUGUCUGAAAGGAAAUGCUUUUGAUGAAAAACUACAGAUUUUGUUUAUUUCUAUUUCUGUCCAGUGAUCAAACAUCCAUCAUGUACAUGAAGGAUCCAGUGUACAGAUGCAAGUGUGAUGUUUGAGUCCAGAGAUCGAU